rnacentral:rRNA from 1 species
GACGAACGCUGGCGGCGUGCCUAAUACAUGCAAGUAGAACAGUUGCGAACGGGUGAGUAACGCGUAGGUAACUGCCUCAUAGCGGGGGAUAACUAUUGGAAACGAUAGCUAAUACCGGAUACUGUGAGAUGGACAUGUGUUGUAUUAGUUAGUUGGUGAGGUAAAGGCUGACCCAGGCGACGAUACAUAGCCGACCUGGGAGGGUGGUCGGCCACACUGGGACUGGGGCACGGCCCCGACUCCUACCGGAGGGAGCAGUAGGGAAUCUUUGGCCAUGGACGGAAGCCUUACCGAGCAACUCCCCGGUAGUGAAGAAGGGUUUCGGAUCGUAAAGCUCUGUUGUUAGAGAAGCGGUACCUAACCAGAAAGCGACGGCUAACUACGUGCCAGCAGCCGCGGUAAUAC